AACCCGGGAAAGAUCUGUGGUAAUCCUAUUCAUAUCCACGUCCAAACUGUAGAUGGUGGCCAUAUGACUUCAACAGGGGAUAAGAUUCACAAAGCCGAUACAACCACUGGAUUCGUCUGUAGGAACGAAGACCAGACUGGGAGCAAUUGUAAAGAUUACCGUGUUCAGUUUAUGUGUCCAUUAAGUUUCUGUAUGGAAGGUCCAAAAUGCUGGACACAAUGGUUUGACAGAGAUAACCCAUCUGCAACUGGAGACUGGGAGACCCUCAAAGAUCUACGCAAGGAGAA